rnacentral:rRNA from 1 species
AACCUCCGCAAUGUGAGAAAUCGCGACGGGGGGAUCCCAAGUGCCAUUCUUAACGGGAUGGCUUUUCAUUAGUGUAAAGAGCUUUUGGAAUAAGAGCUGGGCAAGACCGGUGCCAGCCGCCGCGGUAACACCGGCAGCUCUAGUGGUAACAAUUUUUAUUGGGCCUAAAGCGUCCGUAGCCGGUUUAAUAAGUCUCUGGUGAAAUCCUGUAGCUUAACUGUGGGAAUUGCUGGAGAUACUAUUAGACUUGAGACCGGGAGAGGUUAGAGGUACUCCCAGGGUAGAGGUGAAAUUCUGUAAUCCUGGGAGGACCGCCUGUUGCGAAGGCGUCUAACUGGAACGGUUCUGACGGUGAGGGACGAAAGUUAGGGGCGCGAACCGGAUUAGAUACCCGGGUAGUCCUAACUGUAAACGGUGCGGACUUGGUGUUGGGGUGGCUUUGAGCUGCUCCAGUGCCGAAGGGAAGCUGUUAAGUCCGCCGCCUGGGAAGUACGGUCGCAAGACUGAAACUUAAAGGAAGU